AAGUAACGCGAUGUUUUACCCCGGUGUUUCACAUUUUCUUUUUACAUUUCUUUCUACCGUUUGAAAAAUGGCGACGGUCAUCAUGCGAUUGAGCACAUGUACUGACGGUACAUGUGCAGAUCAGAGACCACACAGCGCAGCGCGCGUGGCCACGUGCAAUACGUACGAGAGCUAGCUACGGGCGCGGGCUGUCGGCCAGCGCCACCGCGGUAUACGGUACCCAGACCCAGCGCUUAGCUCGCAAGAUCUUGAAGUUAAGAGUGACUGACCAGAAUCAGAAUGGCGACCUGGCAAAUCUUAUUAAAAGAAUGGGACCAUGAAGACCUCAUUGAAACUUUCGAAGUAAACGGAAUUGAUGAUAGCUUCUGGCUGUUGGAGAGCGAGGAAAUUAAAGAGCUUAUUCCAAAGAUGGGACCUAGGCUAAAAUUCAUCCAAAAAUUCUCUGUACAGUAACUGCUGCCAGAAAUAAUCAACAUGUCAUCUUUCAUCUGCUGCUAAAAUUCCUGGAGGAAUUUCUGGGCUAUUUUGCCACCUGAAAGUAGUCUGGUAUACUAACAUCUACUUGCACAAAACUUGUUUGUGUAGAAUGUAAGGAAAUUUUGAGCCGUGGAUCAUCAUACAAAAGGCACCUCAUAGGGCAUUUGCAACCCCCUACAGUUCAGGCUGAUGACCAGUGCCAAGCUAAUAGAGUUCCUCAUAUUGACAUAUCUGACUUAUCUAAUGUAAGCAGUCAUGGGGAAUCAAGUGAUGAUGACUGGAAUCGUGUUGAAAUGAAUGCAGAUGCUGAUAUCGUUAAUGACACUGAAUAUGAUUCUCAAGAAAGCACAUCAGACCUUGUAGCUGCUUUUUAGCUCAUUUACAAAGCAUUUUAAUUACUGUUAACUUGGAGUGUUAUUGUCAAGAAAUCAUGGCUCUUGUAAGACUUUUAAACAAUCCCUGUUUAGAAAGGG